UCUGGUAUGAAAGGUUUGACGAGGGAACAACUGUCUCAAUUUGAUUUUCUUAGAAAUUUAUUUUUAAGUUAGAAAGCUUAAAUUUAUUUAAAAGACGAGAAGACCCUAUAGAGUUUUAUAAAUUAGAUUAGUUGAUGCUUUUUAGUAUAUUUAGGGUUGAUUAAUCUGUUUUAUUUUGUUGGGGUGAUGGAAAAAUUAAGAUAACUUUUUUUAUUUUUGACAAUAAUGUUUGAU
rnacentral:rRNA from 1 species